UACGGAGGGUGCGAGCGUUGUCCGGAAUCACUGGGCGUAAAGGGUGCGUAGGCGGGUCUUUAAGUCAGGCGUGAAAGCCCCGGGCUCAACCUGGGAACCGCGCUUGAGACUGGCACGCUCGAGUUCGGGAGAGGAUGGUGGAAUUCCCAGUGUAGAGGUGAAAUUCGUAGAUAUUGGGAAGAACACCGAUGGCGAAGGCAGCCAUCUGGACCGACACUGACGCUGAGGCGCGAAAGCGUGGGGAGCAAACAGG
rnacentral:rRNA from 1 species